UACAGAGGGUGCAAGCGUUAUUCGGAAUUACUGGGCGUAAAGUGCGCGUAGGCUGUCUCGUAAGUUAGCUGUGAAAUCCCUCGGCUCAACCGGGGAACUGCAGCUAAUACUGCGGGGCUGGAGCGCGGGAGAGGGGAACGGAAUUCCUGGUGUAGAGGUGAAAUUCGUAGAUAUCAGGAGGAACAACAGUAGCGAAGGCGGUUCCCUAGACCGUUGCUGACGCUGAGGCGCGAAAGCGUGGGGAGCAAACAGG
rnacentral:rRNA from 1 species